rnacentral:rRNA from 1 species
UGGGGAAUUUUGGACAAUGGGCGAAAGCCUGAUCCAGCAAUGCCGCGUGUGUGAAGAAGGCCUUCGGGUUGUAAAGCACUUUUGUCCGGAAAGAAAUGGCUCUGGUUAAUACCUGGGGUCGAUGACGGUACCGGAAGAAUAAGGACCGGCUAACUACGUGCCAGCAGCCGCGGUAAUACGUAGGGUCCAAGCGUUAAUCGGAAUUACUGGGCGUAAAGCGUGCGCAGGCGGUUGUGCAAGACCGAUGUGAAAUCCCCGAGCUUAACUUGGGAAUUGCAUUGGUGACUGCACGGCUAGAGUGUGUCAGAGGGGGGUAGAAUUCCACGUGUAGCAGUGAAAUGCGUAGAGAUGUGGAGGAAUACCGAUGGCGAAGGCAGCCCCCUGGGAUAACACUGACGCUCAUGCACGAAAGCGUGGGGAGCAAACAGGAUUAGAUACCCUGGUAGUCCACGCCCUAAACGAUGUCAACUAGUUGUUGGGGAUUCAUUCCUUAGUAACGUAGCUAACGCGUGAAGUUGACCGCCUGGGGAGUACGGUCGCAAG